UUAUAAAUAUAUGUUUGAGUUUUAAAAGAGGGAGGAGAAGAAAAUAUUAGGGUUUGGGUUUGAGGGCAGCCACCUUUGGCUGAUUUAGGGAGGUCUCCGGCGCCUCGAAUGGCCGGAAAAUGGGAGAUCUCCGGCGUCUCGAAUGACCGGAAAAUGGGAGGUCCCGAAUUCCUCGAAUUAUUCGGUUUAUCUUGUAAUGUUUUUAGUAAUGAAAUAUUUUAAUUAUUAUGUAUUUUAUGUUUUGAUUAAAUAAAUGUGGGUUCCUAACAAAUGGUAUCAGAGCGCGUUCGAUCCAACGGAGAAGAUAGAUGAUGGUCGGAAAAGUGAUGAGUCGCCGGAAAAUGUUCAUGGAGGAGGCUGACUUGAAGAAAAAUCAUCACAGAGAGAAAUGAGUCCGAAGGCGCAAAA